CUGGGGCGGCGUUGCUACACAUGCAAGUCGAACGAGGUAGCAAUACCUAGUGGCAGACGGGUGAGUAACGCGCUCGGUCAACCUACCGUUGAGUGGGGGAUAACUCGCCGAAAGGCGAGCUAAUACCGCAUACGUCUCCGAGGGGCAUCCCUUGGCGAUAAAAGGAGCAAUCCGCUCGAUGACGGGACCGCGUCCCAUUAGCUAGAUGGUGGGGUAACGGCCUACCAUGGCUCCGAUGGGUAGCUGGUUUGAGAGAGCGACCAGCCACACUGGGACUGAGAAACGGCCCAGACUCCUACGGGAGGCAGCAGUGAGGAAUUUUCCGCAAUGGGCGAAAGCCUGACGGAGCGACGCCGCGUGUGGGAAGAAGGCCUUCGGGUCGUAAACCACUGUCGAAGGGGAAGAUAAUGACGGUACCCUUGGAGGAAGCCCCGGCUAACU
rnacentral:rRNA from 1 species